CCAAGGUUUCCGCACCCACGUUCGUCGUGUGCGGGUUAGGCGAUCCUAAGGUCAGUCCCAUUUAAGUGGGAGUAGCUGAUGGAUUACUGGUUAAUAUUCCAGUCCUUGGUGGUAUUCAUUUGACUUGGGGGGUGACGGUAUAGGAUAAGUUGUGUGAAAAUAUGAAUUUUUCAUCUAAGCAUCAAAGCAGGAUUCUACUAGCAAAUCUGAGAGUCCGUUUAUCUGAGGUGUGAUGGGACUGCUGGUUACGACCGGUGGUUACAACUGAUUUCUGUAUCCUGGAAAAACCUCGCAAGGAGAAUGCCAUCAAAUCGUACCGAUAACCGACACUGGUGGGCAGGUCGAGUAGACCAAGGAGAGCGAGAGAAGGUAGUUUAAGGAACUAGGCAAAUCAGCUGGGCGUAAUUUAGAAAGAUGCCCCGCCCCGCUUUAAUCAGCGGGGCCGCAGUGAAUGAUAUGAGAUCGACUGUUUACCAAAAACACAGGUCUGUGCUAACUCGUAAGAGGAUGUAUACGGGCUGAAGCCUGCCCAGUGCUGGAAGGUUAACUGCGUGGGUGUUGCGGAGCAAUCCGUAAUGCCUACAAUGGAAGCCCCAGUGAACGGCAGCAGUAACUAUAACUGUUCUAUGGUAGCGAAGUACCUUGUCGCUUAAUUGGCGACGCGCACGAAAGGUUUAACGAGUCUCAUGCUGUCUUGAACUGCUACUCGGCGAAGUUGAAAUGGCCGUGAAGAUGCGGCCUAUUGGUGGAAGGACAAAAAGACCCCAUGAAGCUUUACUACAACUUGACACUGAUUUUGUAUGAUGAGUUGUCUAGCAUAGGCGGGAGAUUCUUGAUUUUCUUGAAUCAACAGUGUAAUACCGCUCGCUUGUCAUACGAAAUCUUACCGGAGCCAACUGCAAACGUUGGCAGGGACCCUGUUUGGUGGGUAGUUUAACUGGGGAGGUUGCUUGCUAAAAGGUAACGCAAGCGCGCAAAGGUACCCUUAGCCUGGAUGGAAAUCAGGCUAGACGUGCAAUAGCAUAUGGGUGCUUAACUGUGAGGCAUACAAGCCGAGCAGAUGCGAAAGCAGGUUAUAGUGAUCCUCGAACACUUUGUGGAAGGUGUCGGGCUUAUCGGAUAAAAGCUACUCUGGGGAUAACAGAGUCAUUGUGCCUAAGCGUUCCUAGCGUCGGCACAGUUUGCUACCUCGAUGUCGGCUCAUCGCAUCCUGGGGCUGUAGCAGGUCCCAAGGGUUAGUCUGUUCGCCUAUUAAAGCGGUACGCGAGCUGGGUUCAGACCGUCGUAAGACAGGUCGGUUUCUAUCCUCCAUCAACGUUAGAAAUUUGCGGAAUUUUGUCCCUAGUACGAGAGGACCGGGAUGAGGAAACCUCUAGUGUUCCUGUUGUUGCUGUCAAGCGCAUUGCAGGGUAGCUACGUUUCUUGUGGAUAACCGCUGAAAGCAUCUAAGCGGGAAGCCCUAUCCAAGAUUAAAUUUCUCUAUAUAGAAUCCUGGGAGACUACCAGGUUGAUAGGUGAGAGGUGUAAGUCUGGUGACAGAUUAAGCUUACUCAUACUAAGUUGUCAAUUGAACAUUUAUA
rnacentral:rRNA from 1 species